rnacentral:rRNA from 1 species
CCUACGGGGUGGCUGCAGUGGGGAAUAUUGGACAAUGGGCGAAAGCCUGAUCCAGCCAUGCCGCGUGUGUGAAGAAGGCCUUCGGGUUGUAAAGCACUUUCAGUGGGGAAGAAAGCCUUGGGGCUAAUACCCUCGAGGAAGGACAUCACCCACAGAAGAAGCACCGGCUAACUCCGUGCCAGCAGCCGCGGUAAUACGGAGGGUGCGAGCGUUAAUCGGAAUUACUGGGCGUAAAGCGCGCGUAGGCGGUCUGAUAAGCCGGUUGUGAAAGCCCCGGGCUCAACCUGGGAACGGCAUCCGGAACUGUCAGGCUAGAGUGCAGGAGAGGAAGGUAGAAUUCCCGGUGUAGCGGUGAAAUGCGUAGAGAUCGGGAGGAAUACCAGUGGCGAAGGCGGCCUUCUGGACUGACACUGACGCUGAGGUGCGAAAGCGUGGGUAGCAAACAGGAUUAGAUACCCUUGUAGUC